rnacentral:rRNA from 1 species
ACGAACGCUGGCGGCGUGCUUAACCCCUGCAAGUCGCACGAUGAAGAAAAGAAUCGAAGCUUCGGCAGAAAUUCAUUUCGGAUUAGUGGCAGACGGGUGAGUAACGCGUGAGCAACCUACCUCUUACAAAGGGAUAGCCUCGGGAAACCGGGAUUAAUACCAUAUAACAUUGCGACGAAGCAUUUCGAUGCAAUCAAAGCUACGGCGGUAAGAGAUGGGCUCGCGUCCCAUUAACCGGAUGGUGAGGUAACGGCUCACCAUAGUGACGAUGGGUAACCGGCCUGAGAGGGUGAACGGUCACACUGGAACUGAGACACGGUCCAGACUCCUACGGGAGGCAGCAGUGGGGAAUAUUGCACAAUGGAGGGAACUCUGAUGCAGCGACGCCGCGUGAGUGAUGAAGGAAUUCGUUUCGUAAAACUCUGUUCUAUGGGAAGAAAAGGACUGUACCAUAGGAGAAAGCUCCGGCUAAAUACGUG